UGGGCAAUCUGCCCUUCUCUUCGGAAUAAGCGUUGGAAACGACGUCUAAUGCCGAAUACGACCUCCUUUCGCAUGAUCGGAGGUGGAAAGCUCCGGCGGAGAAGGAUGAGCUCGCGGCCUAUCAGCUUGUUGGUGAGGUAAUAGCUCACCAAGGCGAUGACGGGUAGCCGGCUGAGAGGGCGACCGGCCACACUGGGACUGAGACACGGCCCAGACUCCUACGGGAGCAG
rnacentral:rRNA from 1 species